rnacentral:rRNA from 1 species
GACGAACGCUGGCGGCGUGCUUAACACAUGCAAGUCGAACGGACAGGCCCUGCUUUUGUUGGUUUCUCGAUUGGCGAACGGGUGAGUAACACGUGAGUAACCUGCCCUUGACUUUGGGAUAACUUCACGAAACUGGGGCUAUUACCGGAUAGGAUCUCCUGCUGCAUGUUGUGGGUUGGAAAGUUUCGGCGGUUGGGGAUGUACUCGCGGCUUAUCAGCUUGUUGGUGGGGUAGUGGCUUACCAAGGCUUUGACGGGUAGCCGGCCUGAGAGGGUGACCGGCCACAAGGGGACUGAGAGAGGGCCCAGAAGGCUACGGGAGGCAGAAGUGGGGAAUAUGGCACAAUGGGGGGAAGCCUGAUGCGGAGACGCCGCGUGCGGGAUGACGGCCUUCGGGUGGUAAACAGCUUUCGCAUGUGACGAAGAGGGAGUGACGGUAAUGGGUAAAGAAGCACCGGCUAACUACGUG